GUCAAAUCUAGUUGUGGUCAACAUGUCCCCACACUACUACAACCACACAACAGUUGUGUAUGUGUAAAUACCCUCACCACAAAACUAAACUAGAGAAUUCAGAACCACUCAAAGAAAAACACAAAAACAGAGGAAAAACAGAGCAAGAUAGAUAAAAUACACUGCUUCAUUGAAUUUCCUCUUUCCCAAGUUUCAUUCAACGAUAAUCACUCAAUCCUAUGCACACGAUCCCUCAAAAUACCGUUAUACAAAGCCAUUCUAUUUGCAGGAAUUCCACGAGUUUUUGUUGCUUCACUUCUGCAGUUGCUAUGUACUCUGUUUCGUUUCCUCUGUUUCUCUUUCUUUGCUACCUCACUCUUUUCUCUUGAUUCCUUCACACUUUCUUCAAAUCUAACUUUCUUCUUAUUCUUCUUUGAAUUCAUUUUUCUCUCCCUCUUCUUUUCCUCUGAGAAAAAAACAUACACACACAAUAUAGUAAGAACUAAGAACUAAGGAGUUUUUUUGACAAACUGUAAGGUUAAUAAUUUUCUAUGACCUAGCUCAACUGACAAUAUCGAUAUUGAUAUUGUUAGGUUAAAUAUUUUCAUCCGAGUUCGAACCAUGUACCACAUAGUUAUAGUUGUGUGUGAGUUUGAGUAGUGUUUUUCAUCCUCAACAUACAAAAUAAAGUAAGGUUAAUAAAAAGAAGAGGUGGUGAUUUACCUGAAUAUAAACAAGAGCGCAAAAUUUGUGUGUGAGGGUCAUGAGAGACGUGACUUCCAAGAAUUUGAAAUGAUGGGUUAAUCUUGUGUUUGGAAAAAGCUAGAUAAAGCAUGGUGCUUGAUACAAGCAUAGCUGUAGUGAAAACAAGACCCUGUGAAAGAGAAGUCAUUUGUUGAAGAAAAAGAAGGAUUGAAUUGAGUUGACUAGAAAGGAAGAAGAGUUGUAUAGAUAUAUAGAGGUGGGUGUAGGUGAGAUUGCUUAAUGGGAGAUAUAAAAUAUAAAAAUGAAAAAGAGAAAAAGAAUGAAUAAAAAUGAUAAAUUGUAGAGUGUGGUGAGUGAUGAGGGGAUAAAAGAAAAAUAAUGGCAGUAGUUAAUUGGUGGUGGAUGUUAAGUAUGAGGUUCUAGAUUUUUCUGAUGUGAUUGAUGAGAAUGAAGAGGAUGAAAGAUUUGAGGGGUGGGUCGGUAUGUGUAAUGUAAUGAAAUGUUCGGUUUGGUGAGAAUUACAUGAUAUGAUAUGAUAUGAUAUGAGAAGAAGUUGGAUAGAACAAAAGGAUGAAUGCGGUUUCGGUUUGUAUUGUUUUUGUUUGCAUCGUUGUGUGUUGGAUUUGGUGGGGUUAGAUAGUCCACUUGACCAGACAUUUCGUACGGUCACAAAAUCCUUGACAUCCAAUUAUUUGUACAGCUAUCUAAUUGAGAAAUUCUUUUCAUGGUCAGGUACACAAAUGCAUAGUGUUUAGAAACACACAUUACAAGAUUUUUAAAAAUGA
rnacentral:lncRNA from 1 species